CAUGGGGUGAGAGUUCCCCAGAUGUGUUCCUAUGAUCUUGAAGUCUGUCCAUAGCAAGCAUGUGACACUUGCCUGGAUCAUCAAGUUUCAGAGUACCUGUAAAAGUAGACCAGGGUAUCUCUUCUUCUGGCUACGCUCUGUGGGUGGACCCAAGCUGGAGGGUACAGUUACCUGAGACAUCUUCUCCUGGCAGAGGUCAGAAGCGCCUAGUCCAUCACCUCGCUAAAUUGUUAGGAGCGGAUCAGAAGUUCAAAGCUGCUUAUGGUCGUCUUGCAUCUUCAAAUCAUGCACAGAAUGAUGCCCUACCAGAUUCUAACCCAGAAAAGUUUGACACCUUGACACAUGCAUUCUUUGGCGACCAAUGGCGUGUACGCGGUCUUGGCUCAUCUGAAGACCCCUUGUUGAUUUUGCAUCUGGACAUAGUGGGCCAACAUUUUAUGAUGUACAAGGUGUCACUAAAGCCUGCACGGGCUCCUUCGAUCAUAGGAAGAUGACAGGUCUCAUUGUUCCUGCAGGGGAGCAGACACAGACACCAAAUGAUUUAACUCUUUCAAGUGAGUAACAUCCUGAUUUGGCUUCUGCUUUGGAAGAUGAGCUUCCCUAAGCUACAUAGAAUCAAGUAAAAACUGUAUUAUCAGUAAAUGUUUAUUGACUCUGCCCCAAUCCCCUCCAGACCUUCAUUUCUUCUCUAUGAUAACAAGCAUAACUUUCUCCGUAAAACAACUACAUCAGUGUUAAGAGUCUUUGUUAUUCCCAUGAAGUGUGUCUACAUUAGCUGCUUUAAAGUUUCUUCUGAAUCAUUGCUUUAAAACAUAUUCCCAGACAACUUUAGAAAGUAAUAUUCUAUUUUUUAUCCUAUACCCACUGAUGUGCUGUACAGAAAAACCCCAAACUUGUCUUGUAUUAGAACAAUGUUGUUGACAUUGAUGAAAUUCCAGAAAGGGAUUAUAUGAAGACUUUAUCAUCCAGAACCAUGCAAAAAGCUUAGACUUUUGGUGGUUAAAAAAAAAAAAAAGGCAAUAUCUUCAUCAUAUUCAAAACAACCUGGUAACAUUUCCCUAUAUAUGUAAAACACAAUGAUAUAUGGAACUUGCACUGUUUUCAAGCAUUUUUGUAUGCAUAAAAACAAAGUAACAAAAAUGAUUAUAUACAGGUAAUUUUACAAAAGAACACUUUCCUCCAUAUCAGUUUGGUGAGCUCUCACCAGGACACAGUAUCCUGUACUGUUUCAUAAAUUUAGGGCAGAGACUCUAUAAUACUCAAACUUGUAACUUCAGGAGGAAGUGCUUGGAAUAUUGUAGAUAGUCAACAAAUGCUUAUGAAAUAAAUAAGUGAAUAAAUAUCUAGGUAUACUAUUUGGCUGUAUUUAGCACCAUUGCUCUAAAAACUAACAACCUAUUCCAAAUUAUAAGCAAUGCCUCUAUUAGAGGAAUGUCUCUAAGGGUCUUUCUCCUGAAAUUAAGAACAACAACUAUUCUUCCUAGUUGUAUUUUCAGGUAAUACUAUACUAGGUUACACCAAACUUACUCGCUUAACCAGAUCACAGCAAAGCAAAAUCAUUUUCUUUUUUUUUUUUAUCUUUAUUGGAGUAUAAUUGGUUUACAAUGGUGUGUUAGU